rnacentral:rRNA from 1 species
CAGCAGCCGCGGUAAUACGGAGGGGGUUAGCGUUGUUCGGAAUUACUGGGCGUAAAGCGCACGCAGGCGGUCUGUUAAGCUAGAUGUGAAAGCCCCGCGCUCAACGUGGGAGGGUCAUUUAGAACUGGCAGACUAGAGUCUUGGAGAGGGGAGUGGAAUUCCAGGUGUAGCGGUGAAAUGCGUAGAGAUCUGGAGGAACAUCAAUGGCGAAGGCAACUCCCUGGCCAAAGACUGACGCUCAUGUGCGAAAGUGUGGGUAGCGAACAGGAUUAGAUACCCUGGUAGUACACGCCGUAAACGAUGUCUACUAG